rnacentral:lncRNA from 1 species
GAUGAGAGAAAUUGUGGCUGUAAAGAAGGUACAAGAACCGAGAAUUGCAAACCAUGCGCUUGCUGACCUCAUUGAUGUGGAGACACUAAAAAGACUUCAUGAUGUAGAACUGGGUAAUGCUUAUUACAUGUUCCUUCCACUGACAUCCCUUUCAUAAUGAUUACUUUACUAAACUCAUUGAUUAUUAUUAUUGUGGAGAAUGAUGAAGAAGAAAGAUGAGAAGAGGCAGAGAAGAAGCAACAAAACAAAACAAUGAUGAGAUGUGAAGAAAGAAUGUGAGAGGAAGAAAUUGAAGGAAGAAAAUAGCUAACCAUGGUUGACAGCAACAGUGGAUGAUGAAAAAUAGUUUCUUGAUGGAGAUGGUAUGUAGAGAGCAUUGGUAGUAUAAGUUGUGCAUCCAAUCUGAAAUCUGAACAAAGUUUGAUAGUCCAAUAACANN